CUACGCAACGGAUGAUUUAUACUACUACCAUGUUUUUUAUGUUGGGUCUGAGAAACUAGAGAAUUCAUGCCUCUUUGCCAUGCCAAGAGUAUUCUAGGGAUUUCUUAUGAAUAUACUGUAUGUAAUAUGGGAUGGCUAUUUUGAUUAAGAGAUCAAUUUUUAUGCAGGUUUAUCUACACACUUCUCAGCCUGGGAAUCAUCAUGUGCUUGCUGACCUGCUCGGGCCACAUCGCCGCUGAAACUGCAAACAGCCCCUGCCUGUCUUGUCACGUGAUCUUUGUAUUCUUGCUUGUGAUACUGGAAGCUGCAAUCGCCGCCGAUGUAUUUCUGAAUAGCUACUGGGAGGAGGACAAAUCCCACCAGACUUGGCUCUAAUUGAAGUUAUCAUAAGAGUAAGCAAUCAGCACUUGUUGUUCUGUUUUCUGAUUCUAUUGAGAAAGCUCAAAAUUUGCAGUGUAAGAUCAAACUUUUGCUCGCAGAAUAUUGAAUGUGCGCUAAAAAGUAUGUAGAUUCACUCAUGAGGGCAGAAUCCUGUGAAUUUCUUUUGAAUCAAUUGCU